UACGGGGGGUGCAAGCGUUGUUCGGAAUCAUUGGGCGUAAAGAGCGUGUAGGCGGCUAGAUAAGUCAGAUGUGAAAGCCCUGGGCUCAACCCGGGAAGUGCAUUUGAAACUGUCUUGCUAGAGUAAGGGAGAGGGAAGUGGAAUUCCUGGUGUAGAGGUGAAAUUCGUAGAUAUCAGGAGGAACACCGGUGGCGAAGGCGACUUCCUGGCCCUAUACUGACGCUGAGACGCGAGAGCGUGGGGAG
rnacentral:rRNA from 1 species